UUGUUGGUGAGGUAAAAGCUCACCAAGGCUUCGAUCAGUAGCUGGUCUGAGAGGACGACCAGCCACACUGGGACUGAGACACGGCCCAGACUCCUACGGGAGGCAGCAGUGGGGAAUUUUGGACAAUGGGGGCAACCCUGAUCCAGCCAUGCCGCGUGAGUGAAGAAGGCCUUCGGGUUGUAAAGCUCUUUCAGCCGGAACGAAACGGUCACGGCUAAUACCUGUGACUACUGACGGUACCGGAAGAAGAAGCACCGGCUAACUACGUGCCAGCAGCCGCGGUAAUACGUAGGGUGCGAGCGUUAAUCGGAAUUACUGGGCGUAAAGCGUGCGCAGGUGGUUUUGUAAGUCAGAUGUGAAAUCCCCGGGCUUAACCUGGGAACUGCGUUUGAAACUGCAAGGCUAGAGUGUGGCAGAGGGGGGUGGAAUUCCGCGUGUAGCAGUGAAAUGCGUAGAGAUGUGGAGGAACACCGAUGGCGAAGGCAGCCCCCUGGGUCAACACUGACGCUCAGGCACGAAAGCAUGGGGAGCAAACAGGAUUAGAUACCCUGGUAGUCCAUGCCCUAAACGAUGUCAACUAGUUGUCGGGUCUUAACGGGCUUGGUAACGUAGCUAACGCGUGAAGUUGACCGCCUGGGGAGUACGAUCGCAAGAUUAAAACUCAAAGGAAUUGACGGGGACCCGCACAAGCGGUGGAUUAUGUGGAUUAAUUCGAUGCAACGCGAAAAACCUUACCUACCCUUGACAUGUAUUGAAACCCACAGAGAUGUGGGUGUGCCCGAAAGGGAACGAUAACACAGGUGCUGCAUGGCUGUCGUCAGCUCGUGUCGUGAGAUGUUGGGUUAAGUCCCGCAACGAGCGCAACCCUUGUCAUUAAUUGCCAUCAUUUAGUUGGGCACUUUAAUGAGACUGCCGG
rnacentral:rRNA from 1 species